AGAGUUUGAUCCUGGCUCAGAUUGAACGCUGGCGGCAGGCCUAACACAUGCAAGUCGAACGGUAACAGAAAGCAGCUUGCUGCUUUGCUGACGAGUGGCGGACGGGUGAGUAAUGUCUGGGAAACUGCCUGAUGGAGGGGGAUAACUACUGGAAACGGUAGCUAAUACCGCAUAAUGUCGCAAGACCAAAGAGGGGGACCUUCGGGCCUCUUGCCAUCGGAUGUGCCCAGAUGGGAUUAGCUUGUUGGUGGGGUAACGGCUCACCAAGGCGACGAUCCCUAGCUGGUCUGAGAGGAUGACCAGCCACACUGGAACUGAGACACGGUCCAGACUCCUACGGGAGGCAGCAGUGGGGAAUAUUGCACAAUGGGCGCAAGCCUGAUGCAGCCAUGCCGCGUGUAUGAAGAAGGCCUUCGGGUUGUAAAGUACUUUCAGCGGGGAGGAAGGGAGUAAAGUUAAUACCUUUGCUCAUUGACGUUACCCGCAGAAGAAGCACCGGCUAACUCCGUGCCAGCAGCCGCGGUAAUACGGAGGGAGCAAGCGUUAAUCGGAAUUACUGGGCGUAAAGCGCACGCAGGCGGUUUGUUAAGUCAGAUGUGAAAUCCCCGGGCUCAACCUGGGAACUGCAUCUGAUACUGGCAAGCUUGAGUCUCGUAGAGGGGGGUAGAAUUCCAGGUGUAGCGGUGAAAUGCGUAGAGAUCUGGAGGAAUACCGGUGGCGAAGGCGGCCCCCUGGACGAAGACUGACGCUCAGGUGCGAAAGCGUGGGGAGCAAACAGGAUUAGAUACCCUGGUAGUCCACGCCGUAAACGAUGUAGAGUUGGGAGGUUGUGCCCUUGAAGCGUGGCUUUCCGGAGCUAACGCGUUAAGUCGACCG
rnacentral:rRNA from 1 species